GUGGGGAAUAUUGCGCAAUGGGGGAAACCCUGACGCAGCGACGCCGUGUGAGGGAAGAAGGCUUUCGGGUCGUAAACCUCUGUCAGAAAGGAAGAACCUCCCAUAUCCGAAUAGGGUGUGGGACUGACGGUACUUUCAAAGGAAGCACCGGCUAACUCCGUGCCAGCAGCCGCGGUAAUACGGAGGGUGCAAGCGUUAAUCGGAAUCACUGGGCGUAAAGCGCGCGUAGGCCGCUUUGUAAGUCGGACGUGAAAGCCCUCGGCUCAACCGGGGAACUGCGUUCGAUACUGCGAGGCUUGAGUCCUGGAGAGGGUGGCGGAAUUCCGGGUGUAGGAGUGAAAUCCGUAGAUAUCCGGAGGAACACCGGUGGCGAAGGCGGCCACCUGGACAGGUACUGACGCUGAGGCGCGAAAGCGUGGGGAGCAAACAGGAUUAGAUACCCGAGUAGUCC
rnacentral:rRNA from 1 species